UGACCUGGCGGCAGCCUACACAUGCAAGUCGUACGGAGAGUGGGGCAACUCACUCUCAGUGGCAAACGGGUGAGUAACGCGUGAAUAACCUGCCUUUGAGAAGGGGAUAACUGUCCGAAAGGAUAGCUAAUACCCUAUAUUGCCUUUUGUCACUAAGGCAAAAGGUGAAAGCGAGGCUGUCAAAGGCUUCGGCUCAAAGAGGGGUUCGCGUCCUAUCAGGUAGUUGGUGGGGUAAUGGCCUACCAAGCCAAUGACGGGUAGCUGGUCUUAGAGGAUGAUCAGCCACAGUGGGACUGAGACACGGCCCAGACUCCUACGGGAGGCAGCAGUGGGGAAUAUUGGACAAUGGGCGCAAGCCUGAUCCAGCCAUGCCGCGUGAGUGAUGAAGGCCUUAGGGUUGUAAAGCUCUUUUAUCCGGGACGAUAAUGACGGUACCGGAGGAGUAAGCCCCGGCUAACUUCGUGCCAGCAGCCGCGGUAAU
rnacentral:rRNA from 1 species